AAACAGAUAACGCCGAGUGCCGCGGGCAAACCUGCGGCAGCGGGAGACCCACUUUUGGGGUGAAUUCACGGAGACGGCUCACAUGACACGGCCGCCCCUGUGAUAGGGAACCUUCUUUCCCGAACCCGUCAGCUAAUCUCGUAGGCGGAGAAGGAAAAAGCG
rfam:Lachnoclostridium sp. An14 An14_contig_8, whole genome shotgun sequence.